rnacentral:rRNA from 1 species
GCAUAUCAAUAAGCGGAGGAAAAGAAACUAACAAGGAUUCCCCUAGUAACGGCGAGUGAAGCGGGAUGAGCUCAAAUUUAAAAUCUUGCAGCCUCAGGUUGUACGAGUUGUAGUCUAGAGAAUCGUUUUCCGCGUUGGCCUGUGUACAAGUCCCUUGGAACAGGGCGUCAUAGAGGGUGAGAAUCCCGUCCUUGACACAGAUUACCAAUGCUUUGUGAUGCGAUCUCAAAGAGUCGAGUUGUUUGGGAAUGCAGCUCAAAAUGGGUGGUAAAUUCCAUCUAAAGCUAAAUAUUGGCGAGAGACCGAUAGCGAACAAGUACCGUGAGGGAAAGAUGAAAAGCACUUUGGAAAGAGAGUUAAACAGUACGUGAAAUUGUUAAAAGGGAAACGAUUGAAGUCAGUCAUGCUCUCCGAGACUCAGCCGAUUCUGUCGGUGUACUUCUCGGUUGGCAGGCCAGCAUCAGUUUUGAUCUGUGGAAAAGGUUGGAGAGAAUGUGGCAUCCUCGGAUGUGUUAUAGCUCUCCUUCGAAUACAUAGAGCGGGACUGAGGAACGCAGCGUGCCCUUUAUUGGGUUGGCCUUCGGGUACAUACACGCUUAGGAUGCUGGCAUAAUGGCUUUAAACGACCCGUCUUGAAACACGGACCAAGGAGUCUAACAUGUUUGCGAGUGUUUGGGUGGUAAACCCGAACGCGUAAUUAAAGUGAAUGCAGGUGGGAUCCGCAAGGAGCACCAUCGACCGAUCUGGAUCUUUUGUGAUGGAUUUGAGUAAGAGCACAUAUGUUGGGACCCGAAAGAUGGUGAACUAUGCCUGAAUAGGGCGAAGCCAGAGGAAACUCUGGUGGAGGCUCGUAGCGAUUCUGACGUGCAAAUCGAUCGUCAAAUUUGGGUAUAGGGGCGAAAGACUAAUC